rnacentral:lncRNA from 1 species
UUUUUUAAAUAUAUACCUGUUAUAAAUAUUUAUAGGUGUAAUAUAACAUUUAUUACAAUAAACAUGUAACAUUUAUAUUACACGUUUACCAGUAAACAUUUAUGAUUUAUAUGUGUCUAAUUUGGGAAGACAAACCAACCAGGUGUCUAAUUUGGGAAGACAAACCAACCAGGUGUCUAAUUUGGGAAGACACCAGGCCAGGUGUUGGACCAUGAAAAACUUCCAGCAGCUAUAAAAGAGGAAGAAAUCUGUGGUGAUAACAUUAAACAUUUAUAUGUGUAAUAACAUUUAUUACACAUAGAUGAACAACAUCAGUUUGCUUCUACUCAGCUUACAGAUCCUUCUCCUCCUCCCUUCUCCAAGCUUCUACUGCCCGGUAAUGGGUAGAAACCCACUAACCCGACCCACUCACCCGCUUAAAAAAGCAUUUUGGAAAGCGCUCCUCCAGG